CAGAAAUUUUUGUUGCAUGACAUACGUUCGCGUUACAUGUCGUUUGUUUGGCUCGUGCUUGGUGAUUUGUGAAGUAUUUUCGGUCAGUCUAAAUUUAAAUGGUUUCUCCGAGAGCGUCUGGACCACAGUUUCCUGAAGCUCGCAUUAAGCACGAUUUAGAAAGCUAGUGCAAUUGUAAGCAGGACUAGCUCAGGAGAAGAAACAUAACAUUUUGCUUGGCGAUGGAUAACUAAACCAACUCCAGCUUUAUGCAGAAGCAGGAUAUAGAAAGUGGGAACUUCACUUGAUAAAUACGCUUCAUGCAUCGAGAAACGGCAAACAAGUCAUACAUACUUUGGCUCCAUGGGUGUCAAACAGUUACCGAGCUGAACGACAAAGGUCUUCAAAUUCUCGAUCUUGGAGGGAUGGAGCCUGGCGUCCGGUCACCGAAGAGUUCUCCGGAAUGUUAUUCCUACUAGGCCCAGCUAUUAAAUGGCCUUAUUCUCUGACUGCAUACCUCAGUAUAGGUUCACGCAGUAUAGGCUCAGGCACUUCACAGGAACCCACUCCGGAAGUUCUACCAUCACCUUUGCCCUAGUUCCGGUUCUAUUUUUUUUCCAAAACGGAAAAGCAGGGCGAGUUGUAAGUUCGGCGUCAGAAAAAAAGACAAACGUGGCGAAGGUAUUACGGCGUGCAUCAAAGGCGUGCAUCCAUCAAAAACCCGACCGCCAACUCGUGUAUAUUCAUGGUCAUCGCCAUCAAUCCAGAUUCCAUCAUCGUUUGUGGGCAAGAAAUCCGAGUGAAAUGAUCUCAAAUUUCACUUAUUCCUCACCCCUGCUCCUCUUUAAAUGUUAAGUGUAAUAAAAUGUUAAAAUGUA